rnacentral:lncRNA from 1 species
AAAAAAUAUCGACAGAGCCCUUAUGACAGGGCUAGAUGCUGUUUCAUGUGCCAGGAACUAGACAGACAAAGCCCCUGGCCUUAAUGAGGCUUACACUGUAAGGUGGCAAGAGAUGAACUAGCCACCAAAAAAAAAAAAACCCGUGAUACAAGACUGAAUGCUGAUACCUGCCAGAAAGCAAGAGAGCAGCGUCAGAGCCUAGUAUGGCCGGGCAGCCAUACCAGGGAAGGCCUCUCCGAGUGAGAUGACCCUGAGCAGAGACAUGGAGAAGCCACAGAGACCUCCCAGGAAGGACAUCGCAGGGAGAUGAAAGAGCAAGCGCAAAGGCCCCGGGGUGGGCAUGUGCAUGGUUCAGCUGAGGAACAGCCAGGAGGGGAAAGUGGCAGGAAGGCAGCGAGGGUGGAGGAGAUGAGGUUAAGAAGCCCAGGGAGGGUCUGGGGAAUGGGAGGGACACAACCACAUCAGCCACAUAUUUUUACAGAACUCCUCCUCUGGCUGCUUCAAGUUGAGGGGAAGCAGAGGCAUCGGUUAGGAUUCAGCUGGGGAGAGGUAGGGGCAGCCCCCAACUUACCAUGAUUCGACUUAGGAUGUUUCUUUUUUUAUUUUUUGAGACAGAAUCUCACCGUGUUGCCCAGGGUGCAGUGCAGUGGAGCGACCUCGGCUCACUGCAACCUCUGCCUCCCAGGUUCAAGCGAUUCUCAUGUCUCAGCCACCUACAGAGCUGGAAUUACAGGCGUGCGCCACCACACCCAGCUAAUUUUUGUAUUUUUAGUAGAGACGGGGUUUCACCAUCUUGGCCAGGCUGUUCUCAAACUCCUGGCCUGAUCCACCUGCCUCGGCCUCCCAAAGUGCUGGGAUUACAGGCGUGAGCCACCGCACCCGGCCUAAACAGUAUUUUCAACUUAUGUUGGGUGUAUCAGGAUGUAGCUGGAUGGUAAAUCCAGCAAGUUUAUGGCCUGACCUAUUUAGUAUUUGGAGUUGCCAUUUAUGGAGACAGGAAAGACUGCAGGAGGAGCACAGCAGUGGAAAUCAGGACCUUGAUUUCGGACAGAAGGUUAAUAACUUCAUGGUGAUGUGGAGAAGACAGUGGGAUAUACAAGUCUGGAAUUCGGAGGAGAGGUGCGGGCUAGAGAUACAAAUGGAGAAGUAGAGAAAGUGUCCAAACACCUCAGCGUUUGGGAGAUCAUAGAGGGAAGAUAGAGAGGAGGAGUCAGAAGACCGAGUCCCAGGCCUAGGGGUGUAGCAGUCAGAACAAGGACCUUUCCUUCCCCAGAAGCCUGGGAAGGAGCACCAACAGAGAUGGGGGAGAACCGGGAAGCAAGUGGCUGGAAGUCCAGGGGAGAAAGUGCUUCAGGAGUGACCACUGUGUCCCCUGCUACUCAAAGGAAGAUGUGGAUGAGGGCUAAGCUGGGGAGUUGGCACCACGGAGGCCACUGAUGACCCAACUGAGGGCCAUGUUGAUGAAAUGCUGGGAGCUGAAGCCCGAUUUAAGAAAUAGUAGUGGAGGCUGGACACAGUGGCUCAUGCCUAUAAUCCCAGCACUUUGGGAGGCCAAGGCGGGCAGAUCACUUGACAUCGGGAGUUCCAGACCAGACUGGCCAAGAUGGCGAAACCCUGUCUCUGGCUAAAAAUACAAAAAUGAGCUGAGUGUAGUGGUGCAUGCCUGUAAUCCCAGCUACUUAGGUGGCUGAGACAGGAGAAUCACUUGAACCUGGGAGGCGGAGGUUGCAGUGAGCUGAGAUCACUGCUCCACUGCACUCCAGCCUGGGUGAAAGAACGAGACUCCAUCUCAAAAAAAAAAAAAAAAAGAAAAAGAAAAGGAAUAGUAGUGGAGAGAAAUUGAAGGCAACGAGGCUAGACAGCCCUUUUGAAGAGGAAGUUUUGUUAUCGAGAAAACAGGCAGUCACUGGAAGCAAAUGUGGGCUAAAGGUAGGAAUGUGGCAUCGGGAUGAGAAAUAACAGACAGCGGCUUUACCCCGACUGGAUGUGAGCUGCUGGUAAGAUUCUGUCUCACCGGGCCUCAGCCUUCCCAUCUGUGAAUGGGCACCAUGGUGGUGCCUACCUAAUAAGCUUAUCAUGAAGGGCAAAGGAGUCAGCGGGAGGAACAGGAAGCACAGCUCGGAGCGGUGCCUGGUGCAGGGAGCAUGAGAUACAACCAGCUCCCAGAAUGCUUCCUGCACGUUCAUGCUCAUGCUAAGGGGCAGGAUGAGGAUGCAGGACAGAGAGGGAGAGGAUCACAGGAAGGAAACCCUGGAGGAGCCAGAAGCAGAGGGGCGGAGCACGCUGGAGCAGGGCCAGGGUCCAGGUGGCAGCAUGGACAGUCACCUCGGCAAAGGCAGGGGAGCAGAGCGCAUGGACCAAGAGCAGGUACUGGGACAGGCGCUUCCAUUUUCCCAGAACCAGGAAGGAGGGCAGUGAGCUGAGAGUUCAAGAAGUACUCAAGGGCAGGGCCUGUGUCCCCGCCACCAGUUGCUCUCAGCAACUCCACAGUACACCUGUCUUUGUUUUUUGAGACAGAAUCUCACUUUGUCGCCCGGGUUAGAGUGCAGUGGCUUGAUCUCUGCUCACUGCAGCCUCCACUUCCUGGAUUCAAAUGAUUCUCCUGCCUCAGCGUCCUGAGUAGCUGGGAUUAUAGGUGCCCGCCACCACACCUGGCUAAUUUUUGUAUUUUUAGUAGAGACAGAGUUUCACCACGAUGCUCAGGCUGGUCUCGAACUCCUGACCUCAAGUGAUUCGCCCACCUCGGCCUCCCAAAUUGCUGGGAUUACAGGCGUGAGCCACCAUGCCUGGUCGUGGCCUCCUUUCUGGUCCUGCCAUGCCUGUGGCCACCCCAUUAUGUGUGUAAUCCCAGCACUUUGGGAGGCCAAGGCGGGCAGAUCACCUGAGGUCAGGAGUUCGAGACCAGCCUGGCCAACAUGGUGAAACCCCGUCUCUACUAAAAAUACAAAAAUAAGCCAAGCAUGGUAGUGGACGUCUGUAAUCCCAGCUACCUGGGAGGCUGAGGAAGAAUUGCUUGAACCAAGGAAGCGGAGGUUGCAAUGAGCAGAAAUAACACCACUGGACUUGACUCUGGGCAACAGAGAAAACAAAUAAAAAUAAAAAAGGAGGAGGCCGCGAGGCUGGAAGAAAGACGGGAGGUCACAUCAUGGGGCCAGUAGAGGCCAGAUCAUGCCUCGUAAGUCUAGAUAGGGAUUUUGGAUUUUACAGUAAGUGCUGGGAAAAGCCCAUGGGGAGGUUUGAGUAGGGGAGUGACAUGAUCUGAUUCCCAUGUUUAAAAAUUCCCUCUGGCUGCUAUGUCAAAAGUGACAGUGCACAACCAUGUCACCAGCAGCAUUAUUCCCAACAGUCAAGAGAUGGAAAGCACCCAAGUGUCCAUCCCUGAAUGAACAGAUAAACAACAUGUGGCAUCUACACACAACAGAAUGUCACUCAGCCUUAAAAAGGAAGGGAAUUCCAGCCAGGCACAGCGGCUCACACCUGUAAUCCCAGCACUUUGGGAGGCCGAGGCAGGAGAAUCACUUGAGUGCAGGAGUUCGAGACCAGCCUGGCCAACACAGUGAAACCCCAUCUCUACUAAAAAUGCAAAAAUUAGCUGGGUGUGGUGGCGCACACCUGUAAUACCUGCUACUCGGGAGGCUGAGGCACAAGAACCACUCGAACCCGGGAGGUGAAGGUUGCAGUGAGCCGAGAUCACACCACUGCACUCCAGCCUGGGAGACACAGUGCGACUCUCUCUCAAAACAAACAAAAAAAACAACAACAAAAAACAAAAAACAAAAAAAAAAAGGAAGGGAAUUCUGACACACAGUACAACAUGAAUAAAUCUUGAGGCCGUUAUGUUAAAUAAAAUAAGCCAGUACAAAAGAACAAAGGCUAUAUGAUUUCACUUAUAUGAGGUCCCUAGAGGAGUCAAAUUCAUAGGGACAGAAAGUAGAAUGGUGACUGUCCAGGGCUGGAGGGAGGGGGAAUGGGAGUAAUUAUUUAAUGGGGAGAGAAGUUUUUGGGAAGAUGAAAAAGUUCUGGAGGUGGAUGGUAGUAAUGAUAGCUCAACAGUGUAGACAUAGUUGACGCCGCUUAACAGUCCACUUAAAAAACGCUACAUGUGGCUGGGAGCAGUGGCUCACGCCUGUAAUCCCAGCACUUUGGGAGGCUGAGGCGGGCGGAUCGCCUGAGGUCAGUUCCAGACCAGCCUGGCCAACAUGGUGAAACCCCUUCUCUACUAAAAAUACAAAAAUUAGCCGGGUGUGGUGGCAGGCACCUGUAAUCCCAGCUACUCGGGACGCUGAGGCAGGUGAAUCGCUUGAACCCAGGAGGCGGAGGUUGCAGUGAGCGGAGAUCACGCCAUUGCACUCUAGCCUGGAUGACAAGAGUGAGACUUCAUCUCAAAAAAAAUGCUAAAGUGGUAAAUUUUAUGUUAUGUAUUUACACAAACACACAUACACAUGCAAAGGACAGCAAUGGGACAUAGGCCAGGGGGAAACCAGCCAGAAGGCAGCUGAGGUUAGGUUGCUGUCGGGGAGAGCUGGACAAUAACGUGAAAAGAGCUGGCAUUGGUAUGAAGUUGUGCAGGGGCCUGGCACAUAACAAAUGUUCAAACAUACGGCAGCUGGGACUCAUUCAUUCAUUCAACAGAUGCACCGUCUCAGUGCCUGAGGUUGAGAGAGCAGAUACGGCUCAGAAGGUGCUCAGAGGCUGGCGUGAAGGUAGUGAGUUAUCGCAAUUGUAUACUCACAGUCAGUGACAGACCAAACUCUUUGUUCUACUCUUUCCCCCUUCUUCUCACUGCUGCUCAUCUGGUUUUUUUUGCUUGCUUAUUUUUUGGAGACGGAGUCUCACUCUGUCACCCAGGCUGGAGUGCAGUGGUGCAAUAUCGGCUCACUGCAACCUCCGCCUCCCGGGUUCAAGCAAUUCUCUUGCCUCAGCCUCCCAAGUAGCUGGGAUUAUAAGCCCGUGCCACCACACCCGGCUAAUUAUUGUAUUUUUAGUAGAUACGGGGUUUCACCAUGUUGGUCAAGCUGGUCUCAAACUCCUGACCUCGUGAUCCGCCCACCUCAUCCUCCCAAAGUGCUGGGAUUACAGGUGUGAGUCACCGUGCCCGGCCUGUCUUCUCUUAAAAAGCAAAGAAAAAAAAAAAAAAAGCCGGGCAUGGUGGCUCAUGCCUGUAAUCCCAGCACUUUGGAAGGCUGAGGCGAGCUAACACGGUGAAAUCCCGUCUCUACUAAAAAAAACAAAAAUACAAACAAAUUAGCCAGGCGUGGUGGCAGGCACCUGUAGUCCCAGCUACUCGGGAGGCUGAGGCAGGAGAAUGGUAUGAACCUGGGAGGCGGGGCUUGCAGUGAGCCGAGAUUGCGCCACUUCACUCCAGCCUGGGCGACAGAGCGAGAGACUAUCUCAAAAAUAAAUAAAUAAAUAAAUAAAUAAAUAAAUAAAUAAGAAAACAAAGAAGGUGGCUGUGGGGGGCGGUGGCUCACUCCCGUAAUCCUAGCACUUUGGGAGACCAAGGUAGGUGGAUAUCUUGAGCUCAGUAGCUUGAGACCAGCCUGGCCAAUACAGGGAAACCCCAUCUCUACUUAAAAUACAAAAAUUAGCCGGGCGUGGUGGUGCUCGCCUGUAAUCCCAGCUACUCGGGAGGCCAAGGGAUGAGAAUCACUUGAACCUGGGAGGUGGAGGUUGCUGUGAGCCAACAUCACACUACUGCACUCCAGCCUGGGGGACAGAGUGAGACUCCGUCUCAAAAAAAAAAAAAAAAAAAAAAGAGGGUGCUCCCCACGGAGGAUGGCACGGUCAGAGAAACAAGCAACAGCACCGGGUGGAGGCUCAGACAGGAGCAUGGAGGAUCCCAGGCCUCCACCUCCCACUCCCAGGCAAAGUGUGUGCAGGGCAACAGCACGCCUUACCUGCAAUCCAGUCAUAGCCCAGGUAUGGCCUGAGGCGCCAGCUCCUCUUAGGAACUGCAGACUCCUCAGAGAAGGUCACCCUGGGCUGAGGAAGGAAGCACAGAGGGACAAGGACUAAGCCAAGAGGCCUGGCCCAGAGGAAGCCGCAAUUCGAGGGACAGAGAGACUGUGUCUUAACUUACACCCUGACUUGCAGCCCAGGGCUCAGCCAAGGGCACAAGAGCAAGAAGGGAAACGUUUGGCCCCACUUUAUGUGUGGCUGUGAACAAAUCCUGGCCUCUUCUCAAAGCACUGUAUGAGAUACUCACAGCUACCACCUAGCGAGCAUUUAGGCUGAGCAAGACCCAACUCACAGUAUCUCCCAGGAGCCUCUUAUUCUGCAAGGGAGGCUACCCACAAGCACAUGUGUCAGAUAGGGAAACUGAGGCCCAAGGAAGCUCCUCCCAUCAGCAGAUGUCCCGCUCUCCCACGUUACCUUGGACAGCUUGCUCUGUUGAGC